rnacentral:rRNA from 1 species
AGAGUUUGAUUCUGGCUCAAGAACGAACGCUGGCGGCGCGUUUAAGCAUGCAAGUCGAGCGGCAAGGGCCUUCGGGCCCCUAGAGCGGCGGACGGGUGAGUAACACGUGGACAAUCUGCCCCCCGGCCCGGGAUAGCCCAGGGAAACCUGGAUUAAUACCGGAUGAGACGGGACCCGCGAUGGCGGGAUCCGGGAAAGGCGCUGCGGCGCCGCCGGGGGAUGAGUCUGCGUCCCAUUAGCUAGACGGCGGGGUAACGGCCCACCGUGGCGACGAUGGGUAGCCGGCCUGAGAGGGUGGACGGCCACAUUGGAACUGAGACACGGUCCAGACUCCUACGGGAGGCAGCAGCUAAGAAUCUUCCGCAAUGGGCGAAAGCCUGACGGAGCCGACGCCGCGUGAACGAAGAAGGCCGUGAGGUUGUAAAGUUCUUUUCGGGAGGGGGAACAACCGUGGCAGGGAAUGGCCGCGGGAUGACGUGAAUCCCGGAAUAAGCCCCGGCUAACUACGUGCCAGCAGCCGC